rnacentral:lncRNA from 13 species
AAGAAAUCCAUACUUGUAAAAAUAUUUUAUUACGUAAUUAUAUUUAAUUGGAAGAUUUAAGCAAGCGCGUCUGGGUAAGUUUGACUCACACGCGAGUGCUUACGAGUUAAGGUUCGAAGGCACAAACGGAUAGCAGCAUCUUGCUCUUCGCUCAAGUUCAAGUAGGUCGUGCGUUAACGGAAAUUUUAAGUUCAUAGGUUAAUCACAGAGACGCGCGGCAUUUAAUUUCGUAGAUGAAAGGAAGGAUGUACGGGGCUCAGCGACAACCUGCAUAAAUUUCUAUAGAGCGCGCGCAUAAGCAUUAUUUUCCCUGUGUUUCCCUCGCUUAUGCAUUAGCGCAUUAAUAUCGCUAAUCGAUUCGAUACGGCAGUUAAUAAUGCCACGGUAUAAUGCGCGCGCGCGUUCACGGGUAUUUCCGCGAGAAUUAUUGUUACCUGCAUGCGGUUAAUAAUCGAGGGGCUCGGGAGAAAUCUGAGAGACACUCGGCGGCGGCUAAUGUGUGUGUACGGCUGCAGAUUUCCUCGUCGAGAGAGAGAGGCCUUAUAAGGCAACCCUGAACUCGCGAGAUCGAUCCGGCAUUAGCCACCAGCAGCUAAAGAGAGAGAGAGACACAGAGAGCCCCCCUCGCGAUGGAAGCGCGUGAAAUUUUAUUAAGAGGCCGUGGGUGCUAUCGCGCGAGAAGUGAGGACUCGCAUCAAUCACGAGAUUUAUCGCAAUCGCCGGACAAUAAAUCAACCUGUUAGGCGGACACAUGAUUACUCGGACAUCACCGAGAACCCGAAAGAUUAAAAAGAUAUCUGAAGAGCUUAAAUACGUCUUCUUCAUCCACGUCUUUCUUCACGUCUCUCUUUUUCAUACGUCCGUGGAUUCACAGAACCGUGAAUGUUUAAUGCCAUGCCGACAGAAUAACUGUUACUGCUUAGAUCCGGCGAAUGAAAUAAGCAAUGACGAUCGCGGAGUGACGAUUAAAGGUCGAGAUCGAUAAUUCAUGAAAGACGAAACCGUCACCGCGAUUCGAGAAUUUAACAGAUAAAUUAAAUGAUUGAGACUGGAAUAAUUAGAUAUUAUAGGUCUGUCCUUUAUAUCGCGUUAUAGGAUCGGGAGAGUACGUGCGUUGUACGUGGACUCGAAAUUGGCCGGAGUUAUAAUUAACGACGCUGUAUUUUACACUCCACGUGACACUUAUUUUUGCGGAGAUACUCGUUUUUAUAGAUGUAUUCGUCACUGUCAAAAGCGAAUUUUCGUCCAAGUCGUGCAUCGCAAUGUCGCGCGAGCUAAAAUCACGAACUAAAAGCGUACCUUCGCAUUUGUUUCGAAUAUAUAUUAAUAGCAGCUCGCGAUAUCGAGUUAUCAUUAUCCCGUCCACCUUUCUCCUUAUUUUACUCGGGCGCGCUAUUUUCAGGCGAACGCUAAAGACGGCGAGAACCGAGUGAAAUUGGGUCAAGUACGAAGCACGUCACGUCAUGUCACGUUCGAGCCGACGUGUACCGCAACCGCUAUGUACACGGGAAUCAAAUAACUCGUAAAUACCCCGUUAAAAUACAUCCUGAAUGCGGAGAGGAGGAGACGAGACCGGUGCAUCGCGAGAUUGCAUUCCAACGUGGGAUUCCAAUUUGCGCUUGACCAAGCAAUCCAAAUCUAUUAUUAUACGAUUAAAAAUUGUUCGCGGAGAGUUCGAUCUUGUCACCGUUGCGGCAUCAUUAGCGAAAACAUGACUGCUGUCGUAUCGUCAGAAGCGAGACGGAAAAAGAAGUAGUAAAAGUAAGCGAUAUCGCGGACUCAGGGCACGCAAUCGAUGAUAGAGAUUAGCGAGCGUUGCGCUCGUAUCCAAUUCGUUCGUUUGAGACAAUAACGAGCACACUCUAACGGCGACUUUGUUUAAAGCAUUCGGCGACGACUAACGUCUACAUUAACGUAAUUGCAGAAACGUGUAAAACGUAUCACGUUGAACAUCAGGAAGCGACCUUGUUUGUACCAUCGUUUGUUACACCACACGCCGCGCGCUCAUUCUAUAAAAUAAUUGCGAGACGCCCUUGCGAAGAGCCAUUAUGAGUAAGUUAAUAUCCCCGUAAAGAACAUCGUUUCCGAAGAACGCCUCUUGCAUGACGUAAAAUAUUGGGUGAGCCCAAAGGUUUGCAGUUGGUGCCGCGUAAAUAUUUCACGCCGCUUGUUUAUGGCACAAGUAACGGCACGCAAUUCGACUUCCAAAACGGAAAUAUAUAGAAUACUGCACAUACGAUAUACAAUACUGCUCUUUAAAAGAAACGUAGCGUGGUAUUUUAACGUUUAAAGUAAAUAUAUUUUAUUUUAUAUUAGUCUGAGAUGUGUUGCAAGUGAGAUUCGUAGCCACGCUGUGAAAUCUAUCUCACGUGUGUCAUCGUACCCCCUGAUACGGGUCGGACAAUGCAUCCGCUUUUAGCACAUGUCAAUAUCCUACGUUUGAAGAGUGAAAAAGGGAGAGGAUACGGUUCUCGCGAUGUGAGCUUGUCAGUGACAAAAGUCAGCGAUUCGUCUGACAGAUGAUACAUAACACCUGGGACAUGUCGCACCACCCAUAAAAUUUAAGCGAAGAAAUCGUGUGUAAGAUAAAAAUCGAUAAAAAUCAGACUUUUUCAAUAAAGUGACAGAUAUAAGAAUAAAAAUAA